AGCGAACGCUGGCGGCAGGCUUAACACAUGCAAGUCGAGCGGGCGUAGCAAUACGUCAGCGGCAGACGGGUGAGUAACGCGUGGGAACGUACCUUUUGGUUCGGAACAACCCAGGGAAACUUGGGCUAAUACCGGAUAAGCCCUUACGGGGAAAGAUUUAUCGCCGAAAGAUCGGCCCGCGUCUGAUUAGCUAGUUGGUGAGGUAACGGCUCACCAAGGCGACGAUCAGUAGCUGGUCUGAGAGGAUGAUCAGCCACAUUGGGACUGAGACACGGCCCAAACUCCUACGGGAGGCAGCAGUGGGGAAUAUUGGACAAUGGGCGCAAGCCUGAUCCAGCCAUGCCGCGUGAGUGAUGAAGGCCCUAGGGUUGUAAAGCUCUUUUGUGCGGGAAGAUAAUGACGGUACCGCAAGAAUAAGCCCCGGCUAACUUCGCGCCAGCAGCCGCUGUAAU
rnacentral:rRNA from 1 species